rnacentral:rRNA from 1 species
GAUGAACGCUGGCGGCGUGCCUAAUACAUGCAAGUCGAGCGAACAGACGAGGAGCUUGCUCCUCUGACGUUAGCGGCGGACGGGUGAGUAACACGUGGAUAACCUACCUAUAAGACUGGGAUAACUUCGGGAAACCGGAGCUAAUACCGGAUAAUAUAUUGAACCGCAUGGUCCAAUAGUGAAAGACGGUUUUACUGUCACUUAUAGAUGGAUCCGCGCCGCAUUAGCUAGUUGGUAAGGUAACGGCUUACCAAGGCAACGAUGCGUAGCCGACCUGAGAGGGUGAUCGGCCACACUGGAACUGAGACACGGUCCAGACUCCUACGGGAGGCAGCAGUAGGGAAUCUUCCGCAAUGGGCGAAAGCCUGACGGAGCAACGCCGCGUGAGUGAUGAAGGUCUUCGGAUCGUAAAACUCUGUUAUUAGGGAAGAACAAAUGUGUAAGUAACUAUGCACGUCUUGACGGUACCUAAUCAGAAAGCCACGGCUAACUACGUG